GAGUUUGAUCAUGGCUCAGGACGAACGCUGGCGGCACGCCUAACACAUGCAAGUCGAACGGAGAUAUUUUGGUUUACUGAGAUAUCUUAGUGGCGGACGGGUGAGUAACACGUGAGCAACCUGCCUCUGAGAGAGGGAUAGCUUCUGGAAACGGAUGGUAAUACCUCAUAACAUAACGAAGCCGCAUGACUUUGUUAUCAAAGAUUUAUCACUCAGAGAUGGGCUCGCGUCUGAUUAGAUAGUUGGUGAGGUAACGGCUCACCAAGUCGACGAUCAGUAGCCGGACUGAGAAGUUGAACGGCCACAUUGGGACUGAGACACGGCCCAGACUCCUACGGGAGGCAGCAGUGGGGAAUAUUGCACAUGGGGGAAACCCUGAUGCAGCGAUGCCGCGUGGAGGAAGAAGGUUUUCGGAUUGUAAACUCCUGUCUUAAAGGACGAUAAUGACGGUACUUA
rnacentral:rRNA from 1 species